UACGGGGGGGGCAAGCGUUGUUCGGAAUUACUGGGCGUAAAGGGCUCGUAGGUGGCCAACUAAGUCAGACGUGAAAUCCCUCGGCUUAACCGGGGAACUGCGUCUGAUACUGGAUGGCUUGAGUUCGGGAGAGGGAUGCGGAAUUCCAGGUGUAGCGGUGAAAUGCGUAGAUAUCUGGAGGAACACCGGUGGCGAAGGCGGCAUCCUGGACCGACACUGACGCUGAGGAGCGAAAGCCAGGGGAGCAAACAGG
rnacentral:rRNA from 1 species